rnacentral:rRNA from 1 species
CAGCCGCCGCGGGAAAACGGAGGAUCCAAGCGUUAUCCGGAUUUAUUGGGUUUAAAGGGUGCGUAGGUGGCCUGUUAAGUCAGGGGUGAAAGACGGUAGCUCAACUAUCGCAGUGCCCUUGAUACUGAUGGGCUUGAAUGAACUAGAGGUAGGCGGAAUGUGACAAGUAGCGGUGAAAUGCAUAGAUAUGUCACAGAACACCGAUUGCGAAGGCAGCUUACUAUGGUUUUAUUGACACUGAGGCACGAAAGCGUGGGGAUCAAACAGGAUUAGAUACCCGGGUAGUCCCUGUCUCUUAUAC